AUUGAACGCUGGCGGCAGGCUUAACACAUGCAAGUCGAGCGAGCGGCGGACGGGUGAGUAAUGUCUGGGAACUGCCUGAUGGAGGGGGAUAACUACUGGAAACGGUAGCUAAUACAGCAUACUAUCGGAUAACCCAUAUGGGAUUAGCUAGUAGGUGAGGUAAUGGCUCACCUAGGCGACGAUCCCUAGCUGGUCUGAGAGGAUGAUCAGCCAAACUGGGACUGAGACACGGCCCAGACGCCGACGGAGGCAGCAGUGGGGAAUAUUGGACAAGGGGCGAAAGCCUGAUGCAGCCAUGCCGCGUGUAUGAAGAAGGCCCUAGGGUUGUAAAGUACUUUCAGUCGGGAGGCAUUACCGACAGAAGAAGCACCGGCUAACUCCGUGCCAGCAGCCGCGGUAAUUC
rnacentral:rRNA from 1 species